rnacentral:rRNA from 1 species
AGCUCCAAAAGCGUAUAUUAAAGUUGUUGCAGUUAAAAAGCUCGUAGUUGAACCUUGGGCUUGGCUGGCCGGUCCAUCUUUUUUGAUGCGUACUGGACCCAGCCGAGCCUUUCCUUCUGGCUAGCCUUUUUGGCGAACCAGGACUUUUACUUUGAAAAAAUUAGAGUGUUCAAAGCAGGCCUUUGCUCGAAUAUAUUAGCAUGGAAUAAUAGAAUAGGACGUUAUGGUUCUAUUUUGUUGGUUUCUAGGACCAUCGUAAUGAUUAAUAGGGACGGUCGGGGGUAUCAGUAUUCAGUAGUCAGAGGUGAAAUUCUUGGAUUUACUGAAGACUAACUACUGCGAAAGCAUUUACCAAGGACGUUU